GCCAGCAUGUUGUAGUGGUUUAAACAUUAGACUAUGACUCUGGAGGCCAGGGUUCUAAACCAGGGGUAGGCA